UGAGAGAGAAUAUGUGGAGUUUACAGGGUCACACCGACAGACGAAAUUACUGACAUUCGGUGAAUUCAUUGGAGCUGGGCAGUGAGGGACAUUGACAGUGAUGGGAUCUACGAUCAGUGAAUUACUGAAGGGUUUAAUGUUCCCUGAAAUAUCCGGGUGAGAGAAAUGCCCUCAGACGGACGAUUUUAAUCACAAUGUUCAUCAAUUUGUCUGUUUGUGUUUAGACUGAGUGGUAAUAAACUGGGGGAUUCAGGAGUGAAACUGGUGUCUGCGGCUCUGAGGAACCCGGAGUGUAAAAUACAGACACUGUGGCUGGGGGAUGUCGGUCUCACAGAUUCUGGUGCCGAGGAUCUCGUCUCCGCUCUCAGUACAAACCCAUCACUGACGGAGCUGGACCUGAGUGGUAAUAAACUGGGAGAUUCAGGAGUGAAACUGGUGUCUGCGGCUCUGAGGAACCCGGAGUGUAAAAUACAGAGACUGUGGCUGAGGGGAGUCGGUCUCACAGAUUCUGGUGCCGAGGAUCUCGUCUCCGCUCUCAGUACAAACCCAUCACUGACGGAGCUGAACCUGGGUGGUAAUAAACUGGGAGAUUCAGGAGUGAAACUGGUGUCUGCGGCUCUGAGGAACCCGGAGUGUAAAAUACAGAGACUGUGGCUGGGGGAUGUCGGUCUCACAGAUUCUGGUGCCGAGGGAUCUCGUCUCCACUCUCAGUACAAACACUUCAGUGACGGGGCUGUACCUGGGAUCAAACUCUCUGACAGACCGAUCUGUCCCCGCUCUCCGCCGCCCUCAUACUGACCCACCGGAGUCUGAAGUGGAUCGGGCUGGGGGGGAAUCAGUUCAGUGAGACCGGGAUGAAGGAACUGAGAUCUCUACAGGAACCCAGACCCGAACUGAGAGUGGAUCUGUGAACAUCUGAAUGUGGUGAAUCGGUUCAGUGAGACCGGGGAGAAGGAACUGAGAUCUCUACAGGAACCCAGACCCGGACUGAGAGUGGAUCUGUGAACAUCUGAAUGUGGUGAAUCGGUUCAGUGAGACCGGGAUGAAGGAACUGAGAUCUCUACAGGAACCCAGACCCGGACUGAUGGUGGAUCUGUGAACAUCUGAAUGUGGUGAAUCGGUUCAGUGAGACCGGGAUGAAGGAACUGAGA